AAUUCCUGCUUACCCAAAAAUUUUGAUUGAGUUUCCCGGCUCCAAAUCGUCUCUACCCUAAUAUCGAUUAGAAUUUAGGUUAUUUGCCCUUCACCUUCACUCAUGUUAUUCACCUUCUACCGUGAGUGGCUAUCUCUUCUGAUGCUACUAGAGAACCAUAGAUCACAAAAUCCUCUAUCAUGUCGCCGGUAAGCGCCGAAUCUAGGUCGUAUUCCCUUCACCUUCACUCCUGUUAUUCAUAUUCUACUGUGAGUUGCCUUCUCUUCCGUGUUUCAUGCUACUAGAGAACCCUAGAUCGCAAAAUCCUCUAUCCCGACGCCGGUAAGCGCCGAAUCUGCUAUCGUUACCGUGAAAUCCUUUGACGCCGACCGCUCGGUUUCAGCUCUCCAUCGCUAAUGGUCGUUUUUUCCCAUCCCUCACCAGUCCAUCAGUUUCGUCUACGUUCGCUGCUACACCACCAGUAUUUCUUUUUCUGAAAUUCUCUUCUAGGGUUUGUUUUUCAAGAUGAAAUAUUGCUAGAAUACGAUUUUUAGUUAUGAAUUUACUUUUGUAACCUGAAACAUACUUCUAAUUCAAAGCUGAAAUAUUGUAAAUAUUAUGUUUAGAUCUGCUGAAAAUCAAAUGUAUAUAUUGCUGAAAAUCAAUUUUAUUUGCUUAAAUAAAUUUUUAAUUGCUGGAAUCAUCUAUAUAUUUGCUGAAGUCAUAUUUAUUUACUAAAAACUACUGUUUAUAGUAGUUGAAAUCAGAUUUACUUGCUGAAAUAGUUUUAUAUUUGCUAAAAUCAUCUAUACUUUGCUGAAAUCAUGUUUAUUUGUUGAAAAUUGUUGUUUAUAGUUACUGAAAUCAGAUUUAUUUGCUGAAAUAACUUUUUAUUUGUUCAAAUCAUGUUUAUAUGCUGAAAAUUGAUGUUUAUAGUUGCUUAAAAAGAUUUUUAUUUACUGAUAUCAUUUAUACAUUGCUAUUUAUACUUUGUUGAAAUCAUGUUUGUUUGCUAAAGCUGCGCACUGAAUUAGUGGUAGAAAAAAAACAUAUAAAGUUUGAUGAAUUGGGUAGUGUUUCAGGGAAACAUAGGGCGUUGUUUGUUAGUUAUUUGGAGACCUUUUCCACAAGAAGGUGGGAUUAAGUGUUUUUACCUGGAAGGAUGUAAAUCUGUAACCUUGGAAUUCAGGGAGAAACUAUGGGAAAAGAUUACAGUAAAUAUGUUGUAAACUAUUAGGCAAUUACAAAAGCCACCAUAAAAGUUGUUGAGUCUAAGAUUUCUACUAUCAAUCCUAAGAUACCAACAAUUUCACCAAAAAAUCCUAUUCACCAGUCAAUCAAUUGAAGUCUAUCAUAUCCGGAUAAAAGGAACAUCGAUGCUCGUGGUACCGUUCACUUAUCAUCAGAAAGUCAACUUAUUCAUGGAGUUCCUCUACAAGAUGAUUGCUAUAAAGUUUCCGUUGAUGAAGUGGUACCAAAAAUUAUAUCACAUCAAAACUCAACGGAAAGGAAACCAACUUACAUAUCAUCUGAUGCCCUUCUCCAGAAGACAAGGAGCAAUACAAACAAAAUGAAUGCCUAGCUAGUUAUGUUUAGGUUUUGGUUUAUGAUGUGUUUGAUUUUUUUAACAUUACUUAAAUUCUUUAAAUUAGGACAAUUUUCCUUUCUUUGAUAUUUUAAUUAGGAAUGUAAUGUAUAUAUGGAUUUCGAUUUCAAAUAUUAUCAGUAUCAAAUUAUGAAUUUUGUUUGUGUUUCA